rnacentral:rRNA from 1 species
UACGUAGGGUGCAAGCGUUAAUCGGAAUUACUGGGCGUAAAGCGUGCGCAGGGGGUUGUGCAAGUCUGAUGUGAAAGCCCAGGGCUUAACCUGGGAACGGCAUUGGAGACUGCACGACUAGAGUGCGUCAGAGAGGGGUAGAAUUCCACGUGUAGCAGUGAAAUGCGUAGAGAUGUGGAGGAAUACCGAUGGCGAAGGCAGCCCCCUGGGAUGACACUGACGCUCAUGCACGAAAGCGUGGGGAGCAAACAGG